GGUCAAGCGAACAAGUGCAUGUGGUGGAUGCCUUGGCGAUCACAGGCGAUGAAGGACGCGGUAGCCUGCGAAAAGCUACGGGGAGCUGGCAAACGAGCUUUGAUCCGUAGAUGUCCGAAUGGGGAAACCCACUCCUUUUGGAGUAUCCAUGACUGAAUACAUAGGUCAUGUGAAGCGAACGCGGUGAACUGAAACAUCUAAGUAACCGCAGGAAAAGAAAUCAACCGAGAUUCCCAAAGUAGUGGCGAGCGAAAUGGGAAGAGCCUGUACUCUUUAUUUGUAUUGUUAGCCGAACGCUCUGGAAAGUGCGGCCAUAGCAGGUGAUAGCCCUGUAGGCGAAAACAGUAUGAAAGAACUAGGUGUACGACAAGUAGGGCGGGACACGUGAAAUCCUGUCUGAAGAUGGGGGGACCAUCCUCCAAGGCUAAAUACUCGUGAUCGACCGAUAGUGAACCAGUACCGUGAGGGAAAGGUGAAAAGAACCCCGGGAGGGGAGUGAAAUAGAUCCUGAAACCGCAUGCAUACAAACAGUCGGAGCCUCGUAAGGGGUGACGGCGUACCUUUUGUAUAAUGGGUCAGCGACUUACGUUCAGUAGCAAGCUUAACCGAAUAGGGCAGGCGUAGCGAAAGCGAGUCCGAAUAGGGCGUUCAGUUGCUGGGCGUAGACCCGAAACCAAGUGAUCUAUCCAUGGCCAGGAUGAAGGUGCGGUAACACGUACUGGAGGUCCGAACCCACUAACGUUGAAAAGUUAGGGGAUGAGCUGUGGAUAGGGGUGAAAGGCUAAACAAACUUGGAAAUAGCUGGUUCUCUCCGAAAACUAUUUAGGUAGUGCCUCGUGUCUCACCUUCGGGGGUAGAGCACUGUCAUGGUUGGGGGGUCUAUUGCAGAUUACCCCGCCAUAGCAAACUCCGAAUACCGAAGAGUGCAAUCACGGGAGACAGACAUCGGGUGCUAACGUCCGGUGUCAAGAGGGAAACAACCCAGACCGCCAGCUAAGGUCCCCAAAUAUGGCUAAGUGGGAAACGAAGUGGGAAGGCUAAAACAGUCAGGAGGUUGGCUUAGAAGCAGCCACCCUUUAAAGAAAGCGUAAUAGCUCACUGAUCGAGUCGUCCUGCGCGGAAGAUGUAACGGGGCUAAGCCAUAUACCGAAGCUGCGGAUGCGAGCUAGUCUCGCAUGGUAGGAGAGCGUUCCGUAAGCCUGCGAAGGUGCAUUGUAAAGUGUGCUGGAGGUAUCGGAAGUGCGAAUGCUGACAUGAGUAGCGAUAAAGGGGGUGAAAGGCCCCCUCGCCGUAAGCCCAAGGUUUCCUACGCAACGUUCAUCGGCGUAGGGUGAGUCGGCCCCUAAGGCGAGGCAGAAAUGCGUAGCUGAUGGGAAGCAGGUCAAUAUUCCUGCACCAUUGUUAAAUGCGAUGGGGGGACGGAUCGCGGAAGGUUGUCCGGGUGUUGGAAGUCCCGGUCGCUGCAUUGGAGAAGGCGCUUAGGCAAAUCCGGGCGCGGAAUUCAAGGGUGUGGCGCGAGCUUCUUCGGAAGCGAAGCAAUCGGAAGUGGUUCCAAGAAAAGCCUCUAAGCUUCAGUUUAACAGUGACCGUACCGCAAACCGACACAGGUGGGCGAGAUGAGUAUUCUAAGGCGCUUGAGAGAACUCGGGAGAAGGAACUCGGCAAAUUGGUACCGUAACUUCGGGAUAAGGUACGCCCCUGUAGCUUGACUGGCCUGCGCCAGAAGGGUGAAGGGGUUGCAAUAAACUGGUGGCUGCGACUGUUUAAUAAAAACACAGCACUCUGCAAACACGAAAGUGGACGUAUAGGGUGUGACGCCUGCCCGGUGCCGGAAGAUUAAAUGAUGGGGUGCAAGCUCUUGAUUGAAGUCCCGGUAAACGGCGGCCGUAACUAUAACGGUCCUAAGGUAGCGAAAUUCCUUGUCGGGUAAGUUCCGACCUGCACGAAUGGCGUAACGAUGGCCACACUGUCUCCUCCCGAGACUCAGCGAAGUUGAAGUGUUUGUGAUGAUGCAAUCUCCCCGCGGCUAGACGGAAAGACCCCAUGAACCUUUACUGUAGCUUUGCAUUGGACUUUGAACCGAUCUGUGUAGGAUAGGUGGGAGGCUAUGAAACCGGAACGCUAGUUUCGGUGGAGCCGUCCUUGAAAUACCACCCUGGUUUGUUUGAGGUUCUAACCUUGGCCCGUGAUCCGGGUCGGGGACAGUGCAUGGUAGGCAGUUUGACUGGGGCGGUCUCCUCCCAAAGUGUAACGGAGGAGUACGAAGGUACGCUAGGUACGGUCGGAAAUCGUGCUGAUAGUGCAAUGGCAUAAGCGUGCUUAACUGCGAGACCGACAAGUCGAGCAGGUGCGAAAGCAGGUCAUAGUGAUCCGGUGGUUCUGUAUGGAAGGGCCAUCGCUCAACGGAUAAAAGGUACUCUGGGGAUAACAGGCUGAUACCGCCCAAGAGUUCAUAUCGACGGCGGUGUUUGGCACCUCGAUGUCGGCUCAUCUCAUCCUGGGGCUGUAGCCGGUCCCAAGGGUAUGGCUGUUCGCCAUUUAAAGAGGUACGUGAGCUGGGUUUAAAACGUCGUGAGACAGUUUGGUCCCUAUCUGCCGUGGGCGUUGGAUAUUUGAAGGGGGCUGCUCCUAGUACGAGAGGACCGGAGUGGACGAACCUCUGGUGUACCGGUUGUCACGCCAGUGGCAUCGCCGGGUAGCUAUGUUCGGAAGAGAUAACCGCUGAAAGCAUCUAAGCGGGAAACUCGCCUUAAGAUGAGAUAUCCCCGGGGAUUUGAUCCCCUUGAAGGGUCGUUCGAGACCAGGACGUUGAUAGGUCAGGUGUGUAAGCGCAGUAAUGCGUUCAGCUAACUGAUACUAAUUGCCCGUAAGGCUUGAUCCU
rnacentral:rRNA from 1 species